AGAGUUUGAUCCUGGCUCAGGAUGAACGCUAGCGGCAGGCUUAAUACAUGCAAGUCGAGGGGCAGCGCAGUGUAGCAAUACAUGGGCGGCGACCGGCAAACGGGUGCGGAACACGUACGCAACCUUCCCAAAACUGGUGAAUAGCCUUUCGAAAGAGAGAUUAAUACACCGUAACUUAAUGAAGUGGCAUCACUUUAUUAGAAUAGCUCCGGCGGUUUUGGAUGGGCGUGCGGCUGAUUAGGUAGUUGGCGGGGUAACAGCCCACCAAGCCUACGAUCAGUAACUGGUGUGAGAGCACGACCAGUCACACGGGCACUGAGACACGGGCCCGACUCCUACGGGAGGCAGCAGUAAGGAAUAUUGGUCAAUGGACGCAAGUCUGAACCAGCCAUGCCGCGUGGAGGAUGAAGGUCCUCUGGAUUGUAAACUUCUUUUAUCGGAGAAGAAACCCUUGCAUUCUUGCGAGGUUGACGGUACCCGAUGAAUAAGCACCGGCUAACUCCGUGCCAGCAGCCGCGGUAAUACGGAGGGUGCAAGCGUUAUCCGGAUUCACUGGGUUUAAAGGGUGCGUAGGUGGGCUAGUAAGUCCGUGGUGAAAUCUCCAAGCUUAACUUGGAAACUGCCGUGGAUACUAUUAGUCUUGAAUAUUGUGGAGGUAAGCGGAAUAUGUCAUGUAGCGGUGAAAUGCUUAGAUAUGACAUAGAACACCGAUAGCGAAGGCAGCUUGCUACACAAUCAUUGACACUGAGGCACGAAAGCGUGGGGAUCAAACAGGAUUAGAUACCCUGGUAGUCCACGCCCUAAACGAUGGAUACUCGACAUACGCGAUACACAGUGUGUGUCUGAGCGAAAGCAUUAAGUAUCCCACCUGGGAAGUACGACCGCAAGGUUGAAACUUAAAGGAAUUGACGG
rnacentral:rRNA from 1 species